GGUAAUCUGAUAAAUUUCUGAAAUUAGAUAUACAAGAAAGGAAAAACAGGACUAUUGUUUACCCUAAAAAAUUGACAUGAUUUAAAGUGACUGAUUAUGAAGCUAAAAGAUUCAUCUCUACAUGUUCAUUGCUUAGUCAGUCAUUUGCUUAAUUGGAUUUGAUUAAUCAAGCUGAAUAUGUUUUUUUUCCUCUGUAUAGCUUUAUUGUUGGUACUGAUUUCCAAUUAUUAAAUAACACUGUGGAUAGGAAAAUAUCUUCAUUAUUACAAACUAGUCAAAUAGUUAUUAAUCAGAAAAAAUAACUAUAAAAAUCAUAAAUUGGAAUAUAUUAGAAUAACAGAGAGGUUGGUAAAAAGCAUGAACUCACAGUUAUAAGAUAAAUCAGGUCUGAAUAUCAAAAUGUAUGACAGGCCGAUUAUAGUUCAUAACACCAUAUUGUAUCAUUGAAAUUUGCUAAAAGAGUAGAACCUUAAUGUUUUUACCAAAAAGGGGAUGGAAUGUGUGAAGUGAUACAUGUGUUAAAUAACUUCAUAGGGGAAUCCUUUUACACAAUGUAUCCCCCACCGAAAAAAAGAAAAGAAAAGAAAAAAGAAAUUUCUGUUCAUCAAAAGGAAUGAUAGGAGAGUGAAGAGGAAAACUGCAAGUUGAAGAAGAUACUAGCCAGUCAUGAAUAAUUUCUACAAAUCAUUACAAAAAAACCCCCCACAACCUAAUAGAAGAAUGAUGAAAAGCCUGAAAAGAUAUGCAAAAACAGAAUAUCCAAAUGGUCAGCUAGUAAGUGCAAAAGUGCUCAAUCUCAUUUAUCAUUAGGGAAAUAUAAACAAAACUACUCUGAGAUAGAUGUGACUAGACAUAAACAAGAAUGACUAAAAUAAUUGAGAAGGGAAAUAGCAAAUUUUGGUGAAAGAGUAGAGUGCAGGAGUUAACAUAUCCUCUUGGUGGGAAAGUUAACUGCUGGGAAACUUGAACACAAACUACCUCACAGUCACCAGAAAUGUGUGCAUAUGUUCACCAAAGACAGUACUAACUAGAGAAUAUUCCUAGAAACCCUAUUGAUAAUAGCCCCAAUCUGGAAACUACCUAAAUGCCCAUUGAUACUAUGAAUAAACAAACUGGUUUAUUCGCAAAACAAAAUCUGACACAGCCCUGAGAAUAAUCACACUGUAACCGUGUAUAACAAACAGUGUGGAUGACUCUCAUGAUCAUGUCAAAAGAAGCUAGAGACAAAAGAGUAUAUACAAUAUUUUCCAGUUAUAUAAAGUAUAAAAAUUGUCAAAAUUACUAUAAACUGUUAGAAGUAGUUACUCUUGGGAAUGAGGCCCCAGGCACAUAAGAGGGCUGCUGAGUGCUGGUAAUAUCCUGAUAUUUUUUGUCUCAGUGCCACUUAUAAGAGGUGAUCAUUUUGUAGGAGAUACAAGUGAGUUACAUACUUAUAACUAGAGCACUCUUCUGUUUUAUAGUACUCUUCAAAAUGGUAAUAAAUGACAAGCAAACUGGAUAUGACUAACUUGCAUUUUCAUGAAAACAUUGUCUAUCCACAAAGAAUGCAGUACAUGUUUAUAGAUGAAAUUGUCUUAAAUUGACCUCUGUAACCAAGGAAAUAUAUUCUUUGAAACAUUUUAUUCUACCACAAAAAGGCAACAAGUACCAAACAUGUACAAACAGUAUGCAUUUUUCUUGAAAAGAUACAGUAAUUCCUUUCACUAAGCUAAAUAAAUAAGAUACACUGAGAAGUUUUUGCACUGAUGAUGAUAAUAAUGUUUUGGUGUACCUAAUGCUUUAUGUUCAGUAAAAUACUUUCUACUUUCACACAUAGCAUCUCUCCCCCAAGCUGUGUUUGUUAAGUAAAGCCAUUAUUAUUAUUAUUUCCAUUUUAUGGAUACAGAAAACAAAGCUCAGAGAAGCACCAUGUGUCCAAGAUCCCCCAAAAUAAGAACUUAUCACCUGGAUUCAAACUUGAUGGAGGAUUAAUGCAAUAUACUACAGCUCAGCAGAUAGUCUUAUUUUAAUUUGUCUGUACUCCUAGUAAUCUGCCUGAAGUGAAACGAUCCCCCUGAUAAUUCUAGUUUCAUCAUUCCUCCAUUUACCAAAAGCUAAAGUGUUCCUUAGCCCAGAAUUGCAUAAGAGAUAAAUUGGAAUUUUUCUUUUUUCAAUGUUUUUAUAAUUGGUGUCAAUUUCUCUUUGUUUUUAAUCCACAAUGAAGAGCUGAAACUACUCAGUGUGUUUAAAAUGAGUCCACUUCUGGUUGCUUAUCUUUGCUCCCAAGUAAUUAAAACAACACCACAAUACCUGGACCACUUUUGCUUGGUACCUGGUGCCUCGUCCUGAAAGUCAGAGAGUGUUUUUCAGGAAGUAGACGCCCAUCUUCUCAUUAAGUGCAAAGAGUAAAACACAUCUCACUGGGCCACACUGCACCUGGAGAUAUAUCCAGGGGGAGAUAUGCAAAAAUACACAGCAGCCCCAGGCAAGUUUCCUCCUAGCAUUUCCUGUCAGCUGUCUGGCUAUCUACCAGGGAAAAAGAAAAACCUCCUAAUACGGUUCCUGUGGGAAUUUGAAUUGUGUACAAUACAGUGAUUCAGCACUUCCAUAUAUCACCAGUGCUCCUCAUAACAAGUGCACUCCUUAAUCCCCAUCACCUGUUUCACCCAUCUCCCCCACCCACCUCCCCUCUGGUAAGCAUCACUUUAUUCUCUAUGGUUAAGAGUCUGUUUUUUGAUUUGUCUCUCCCUCUUUUUGUCCUUUGUUCAUUUUGUUUGUUUGUUUGUGUCUCAAAUUCCACAUAUGAGUGAAAUCAUAUGGUAUUUAUCAUUCUCUGACUGAAUUAUUUCCCUUAGCAUUAUCCUUUUUAGUUCCAUCCAUGUCUUUAAAAAUGGCAAGAUUUCAUUCCUUUUUAUGGCUGAAAGAAAAUGUAGUGCGUAUACACAAUGGAAUAUUACUAGACCAUAAAAAAUAAUCUUUGCCUGUUCUUGACCUUCAUAUAAAUGUAAAUUUUGGUGUAUUUUACUCAUUAUUAUGUCUGUGCAGUUCAUUUCUAUUGUUGUGUAUAACAAUAUCUUGUUUUUUAUUACUAUGUGAAUAUACCACCAUUAAUUUAUCCAUUCCACUGUUAAUAAACAUUUAUUACUGAGUCUCA